rnacentral:rRNA from 1 species
GCAGCAGUGGGGAAUCUUCCGCAAUGGACGAAAGUCUGACGGAGCAACGCCGCGUGAGUGAUGACGGCCUUCGGGUUGUAAAGCUCUGUUAAUCGGGACGAAAGGCCUUCUUGCGAAUAGUUAGAAGGAUUGACGGUACCGGAAUAGAAAGCCACGGCUAACUACGUGCCAGCAGCCGCGGUAAUACGUAGGUGGCAAGCGUUGUCCGGAAUUAUUGGGCGUAAAGCGCGCGCAGGCGGAUUAGUCAGUCUGUCUUAAAAGUUCGGGGCUUAACCCCGUGAUGGGAUGGAAACUGCUGAUCUAGAGUAUCGGAGAGGAAAGUGGAAUUCCUAGUAUAGCGGUGAAAUGCGUAGAUAUUAGGAAGAACACCAGUGGCGAAGGCGACUUUCUGGACGAAAACUGACGCUGAGGCGCGAAAGCCAGGGGAGCGAACGGGAUUAGAUACCCCGGUAGUCCUGGCCGUAAACGAUGGGUACUAGGUGUAGGAGGUAUCGACCCCUUCUGUGCCGGAGUUAACGCAAUAAGUACCCCGCCUGGGGAGUACGACCGCAAGGUUGAAACUCAAAUGAAUUGACGG